GAUCGAUUGUAAUAUAGCAGGGUUUUUAUGCCCAAACUACGGAUGUCGUGUUCUCCACAGGGACUAGACAACGGCGACUAUGCUCUGGCUAAAACUAGGUGACAGAAUUUAGAUGAUGAGAACAAAAAGUAAACCUAAACUAUCAAUGAUUGUCAGCAAACAAAAUUGCGGAUAAGCAACAAGGGAGAAUCAGAUUUUACUCAAUAUCUUUUUGGUAUUUUCAUCACACUUGAGAAUCUAAAACACUAACACAAAGGGGAAUAAUAUGACAAGGACACAUAUAUAACUAUCAUACAUGAACAAAGGGAAGAAACAAUACUAAGACAGGGACGAAAAUAUAUCACAACACAAACACACAUAUAUGUAUAUAUCACAGGACACCACACACAUAUGAAGAAUACUGUUUCACUAAACAAAGUAUGACAGGUCAAAUAUUUCGCAUAACAAACAUAUAUAUCCACAUGUACAUAGCUAACACAGGAACUAAGAAUUUAAAGAGGUUCAAACUUCUCACUUGACAGAGCACACAAACAACACAAAAAUUGACUAGUAAUCUUAGUUCUUACAAAACACUAAUUGAUAAACAUGGCACAUAUAUUGAAUAAUACUACUAGAAAAGUAUAGGUCUCUGAACUAAACAAAAUACGUAAUACAUUACAAUUUCCAUGAAUUACAGAGAGGGAGAAAGAGAACAGCAGGUUCAGUUGGAGACGAGCAGCAGCAGAGAUAAGGGAAGAAGAGAGAAGCAGCAGCAAGGUUAGGAGCAGCAGGGGACGCAGAAGAAAUGGAGCAGAGUAGCAAGUAGGGGAAGAGAAGCAGCAGUAGUUGGUUCAGAUAAGGAGCAGCAGCCUGUAGCAGAGGCGUGAGGAGAAGGGAGCAGCAGCAGUUAUGGUUCAGGGAGGAAGAAGAGGAGACAGCAGCAGGAGGUCAAGGGGAAAAAGAAGAUGCAGUGGGGGUGUGGAGAGAAGAGCAACAUCAUGAGUUAGGAGAAUUAGAGCAGCAAAACGGGGGCGCCCUCACGCGGAUGACCAGACGCCUGCGCUCCCCUUUGUCUGGUUGGUUGUGCGAGGUACGGCGAUGGCUGGAGAUGGUGGAGGGAUGGCGCAGUGAAGGUGGAGAUGGAUCGAUGAUGGUGGAUGCUGGUGAUGGCGCGGUGGCGCGGCUGCGAUGGAUGGAUGGUGUAGGGGGAGGAGAGUGGUGGCGCGCGGUGGUGCUGGUGGUGAUGGUGAUGUGGUGGGAGCGCGAUGGCACGGGUGGAGGUGCUGUGGGGUUGUGGAGCAGGUGGAGGUGCUGGGUGGCGUGCCGCCACGCCGGCCUGGCCGCGGCGGCGGCCGGAGGUGGAAGAAGGAGGCGGGGGAAAGAGGGGAUGGAGAUGCCAGGCAUGAAAGGGCAUUAGCUGCCGCUAGGGAUUUUGACCCCUCCUCUGAUCUGCCACUUUGCAAUUUUGGCCCUUCUCCGUUUCUUCUUUCUUCGUAAGAAGGUCCCUUUCUUCUUUAACUUGUCCCAUGGAGCAUCAUUUCUUCACACACAAGUCCCUCUGUCUUUCUUCUUCCUUUUCACUUGACUAGUUCUCUUAGCCACUAGUCCAGAUCUUGAAGUUUAUAGUGCCUUUGCGCACUUUUCUGCAAAAGAAACACAAUGACUAGUAAAUGAUACUUUAUAUGAUUUUCAUGCAAAUAUUCAAUAUUUCACAACAAGAAUUGAUGGUCAUAUAUCAAUAAAUAAUAUAUUUCUAUGCCAAAAUUGUAUAUAUGAAAUGUGCUUAUCAAGUUCCCCCACACUUAAAUCUUUGCUUGUCCUCAAGCAAAGGCAUAUGACAAAGGCUAGAUAAUGAACAGUGAACUGACUAGAAAUGUCAAGUGAAGCAGGUCUCUAAACAGUGCAUGCCUUGGACUUAGCUAGUGAAAAUUAAUGGUUAGGAGUGCUACAUAUCAAUAGGACACUAGUAAACUCGACCAUUUUAAACUUUUACAAUGAUAAAAGAGGAUCAACAAGUUUAAAUGAUGACUGCGCCAAAUGGUUCCUAAAGAGAGCAUGAUCCCGAGAACAAAAAGAACUGGAAUUAAAUCUCUUAUUUGCAGAAAUAUGACUCUGUGGUUGAACCACUUAUUAAAUUUGAAGGAAGUAAUGAUAAUAUUUUAUCAGUCUCACCAAAGGAACAUACCACCGAUCCCGAGAACAUGGUAUACACCUGGCUCGACCAAUUAUUAGUUUUUUUAGUUUGUUGGUCUCCCCAAAGGAACAUACCACCGAUCCCGAGAACAUGGUAUACACCUGGUUCGACAAUUACAUUUUUUUUAUUAUUAAUUACUGCCCAAGCUAACCCGAUUUCACAUGCCACCGAUCCCGGGAACAUGGCAUGCUACUGUAGGUAGUCAAACUUAUUUAUUCAUUAUUACUUAUCUUAAAUGAACAAUGCAUAAGAACAAAAACAGGAAUCAUCACUUCUCCAUGUCUGGUUCACAUGCUACCGAUCCAGGGAACAUAGCAUGCUAAUCCAUAGUGGUUAGGUGAUUGCUCUCAAUGGGAAGACACUUGGCACAAAUUCAGCAUCUAAACAUGGUGAUCUAGGUGUAUCGAGGUAAAAGCAAAAAAUGAUUAAGUUUUCUAGUGUACUAGGGAUUUGAGCACUCAAAACUAAUAGCUUUCACUAAUUUCAGCAAAGCAAGCAUUGUAUAGAUCACUAGUUUACAAGGCAUUCAACACUCAGUUCACAUAUUCACAUCAAUUGCCCUAUGUCGAAGGUAAAAUUCAGUGGGACGGUAUUUAAGAAAUGACUCAAGCAACCCAAAUAACAUGUGAUUUCAGCAUGUAUCAAUGGAUGAUAUUCUCGGAAUGGGUCAUGAAACAGCUCACCGGGCUUUGAUGAUGUAGCACUCUCUCGAUCACCUCACCAACUGCAGCUCCUCUCCUUUUGCUUCUCUAUCCUCAUGCCUGCUCCAGCUUCUCCCUUCCUCGUGUGUGCCCCCUUGCUUCUCUUCAUCCCCAUGCUCUGAGUCCACCAGGGUCCCAAGGAAUGUCACCUCGAACCUGGUCAGCAUGUAAUGGAUCGUGCACAAGCAAAAACCUGAAAGCACUCUCAACAAAAGAGACAAUGCAAGUGGUAGGGUUAAUACCCUCCAAGUGAUCAAUCGAAUAUCCAAUUACAUAAGCAUAACUAUAAAGCACAUGUUUAGGAUGGUAGAAAUCAGCAAGGUUGACACUAACAUGAGGAUGAAAUUUAUCAUUAAGCUCAAGACUAGCAUAGGAAUAAUAUGUUUCAUUAAGCAUAGGACUAGCAUAAGGAAAAUAAGUGUCAUCAUCAGGAAUGAGAGCAAUGCCACCAACAAUGUAUGUAUGAUCAUGUCCAAGCAAAUAAUUUUUCAAGUCUAGCUUAAUUGAUGGUAUCAUGUAAUGCAAGGUAGUAGCAAAGAAAUCACAAGGCAUCAUGUCAUCAAGAGGAUUGGGUAAACCUGACACAUCACGCUCUGGUAUGACAAUAGGCAAAUGAAUCUCAUGUUCUUCAUCUUCAUCUACAGCAGCUUCUUGUACUUCUUCAGGAGUAGUAGAUGAUGAGUCUUCAACUUGAUCACUUGGGAAUUGCAGCUCUUGAUCAUCUUGUUCCUUGUCUUCUAGUUCAUCUUCUUCAAUCUGAGGUAUUUCUUCCUCUGGACUCUUGCUAUCUUGCUCAACUGGAUGUGACGGUGUUGGAACCUCACAUGUAUCAAGGGGAAUCUCGGCAACACUCAACUCUAGCUGUGAAGAAAUAGUGCUGCCAGCGUUGAUGUUCUUCUCAAUCUUCCUUACUUCUUCCACUAGCUCUUUUCCACUCUUGAUCUUCUUCAUUUCAUCUAGUAUAACCUUCCUAAUAGGAUCAUCCUCGGCACUCCAAGUGAACUCGAGACUCCAAAGUGUGAGCUUGUCUAUGUCAUCGAACUCAUCUUGUGCGGGCACUUGCACACGAGCUUGCACAAAAGGUGCUGGAGUUGUUGGUUGACCAAAUGGAGGACCAUUUAACUCCAUUGGACACAUCUCCUGGUAUUGAGGUAUAUGAGUAGGAGGUGAAUAAAAUUGUUGUGGUGCAUGGUUGUGGCUCUCCUCUUCAUACCUAAAUCCCUGCAUAUGAUUACUAGAAGAAAACGAUGAGAUCUCAGGGUUGUUGCUCCUAUAUGACAUAUUCAGGCUUUCAGGCCACCCAUGUGAGUAAUUGUUUUGGUAUGAGCUAUGUUGUUGAGCGAAGCUCAUGCCAAAACAAUCCGGAGGAUGGGAGUAACCACGCUGACAUUCAGCGGGCGAAUGGCCCUGAAAUCCACAAAUAUGGCAAGUAGGAGCAACAUAAGGAUGACCUCUAGAAUAAGGAUCGUAAGAACUAGGCCUAUCCUCAAAAACUCCUUCUCGCUGCCAAGCUAAAUCAUCUAAUCGAUGGGAAAUCUUACCUAUCAGUUCUUGAACACUUUCCGUGCUGUUUGUAGUGUUGCUCGCAUAAGCCUGAUGAUCUGAAUAGUAAGCCAUAAUCGAGAGGAUAAUCCAACCUGCAAAAAGGAAAAGAAGACAAAAAGAUACUAACUAGAACAGGGGUUAGUGGCUAGAGAUAUAUCACAAAUAUAUAAAGCACAAAAAGGAAACAAGCUAAACCUAGUCUAAAGCCUCACACAAACGCUCGACGCUAAUCCCCGGCAACGGCGCCAAAAUGAUCAAUUGUAAUAUAGCAGGGUUUUUAUGCCCAAACUACGGAUGUCGUGUUCUCCACAGGGACUAGACGACGGCGACUAUGCUCUGGCUAAAGCUAGGUGACAGAAUUUAGAUGAUGAGAACAAAAAGUAAACCUAAACUAUCAAUGAUUGUCAGCAAACAAAAUUGCGGAUAAGCAACAAGGGAGAAUCAGAUUUUACUCAAUAUCUUUUUGGUAUUUUCAUCACACUUGAGAAUCUAAAACACUAACACAAAGGGGAAUAAUAUGACAACGACACAUAUAUAACUAUCAUACAUGAACAAAGGGAAGAAACAAUACUAAGACAGGGACGAAAAUAUAUCACAACACAAACACACAUAUAUGUAUAUAUCAUAGGACACCACACACAUAUGAAAAAUACUGUUUCACUAAACAAAGUAUGACAGGUCAAAUAUUUCGCAUAACAAACAUAUAUAUCCACAUGUACAUAGCUAACACAGGAACUAAGAAUUUAAAGAGGUUCAAACUUCUCACUUGACAGAGCACACAAACAACACAAAAAUUGACUAGUAAUCUUAGUUCUUACAAAACACUAAUUGAUAAACAGGGCACAUAUAUUGAAUAAUACUACUAGAAAAGUAUAGGUCUCUGAACUAAACAAAAUACUUAAUACAUUACAAUUUCCAUGAAUUACAGAGAGGGAGAAAGAGAACAGCAGGUUCAGUUGGAGACGAGCAGCAGCAGAGAUAAGGGAAGAAGAGAGAAGCAGCAGCAAGGUUAGGAGCAGCAGGGGACGCAGAAGAAAUGGAGCAGAGUAGCAAGUAGGGGAAGAGAAGCAGCAGCAGUUGGUUCAGAUAAGGAGCAGCAGCCUGUAGCAGAGGCGUGAGGAGAAGGGAGCAGCAGCAGUUAUGGUUCAGGGAGGAAGAAGAGGAGAUAGCAGCAGGAGGUCAAGGGGAAAAAGAAGAUGCAGUGGGGGUGUGGAGAGAAGAGCAACAUCAUGAGUUAGGAGAAGUAGAGCAGCAAAACGGGGGCGCCCUCACGCGGAUGACCAGACGCCUAUGCUCCCAUUUGUCUGGUUGGUCGCGCGAGGUAUGGCGGUGGCUGGAGAUGGUGGAGGGAUGGCACAGUGAAGGUGGAGAUGGAUCGAUGAUGGUGGAUGCUGUUGAUGGCGCGGUGGCGCGGCUGCGAUGGAUGGAUGGUGUAGGAGGAGGAGAGUGGUGGCGCGCGGUGGUGCCGGCGGUGAUGGUGAUGUGGUGGGAGCGCGAUGGCACGGGUGGAGGUGCUGCGGGGUUGUGGAGCAGGUAGAGGUGUUGGGUGGCGCGUCGCCACGCCGGCCUGGCCGCGGCGGCGGCCGGAGGUGGAAGAAGGAGGCGGGGGAAAGAGGGGAUGGAGAUGCCAGGCACGAAAGGGGAUUAGCUGCCGCUAGGGAUUUUGACCCCUCCUCUGAUCUACCACUUUGCAAUUUUGGCCCUUCUCCUUUUCUUCUUUCUUCAUAAGAAGGUCCCUUUCUUCUUUAACUUGUCCCAUGGAGCAUCAUUUCUUCACACACAAGUCCCUCUGUCUUUCUUCUUCCUUUUCACUUGACUGGUUCUCUUAGCCACUAGUCCAGAUCUUGAAGUUUAUAG
rnacentral:lncRNA from 1 species